GAUGAACGCUAGCGGCAGGCUUAAUACAUGCAAGUCGUGGGGCAGCAUGAGUAGCAAUACUUGAUGGCGACCGGCAAACGGGUGAGGAACACGUACACAACCUUCCUUCAAGCGGGGAAUAGCCCAGAGAAAUUUGGAUUAAUACCCCAUAAUAUAUUUGAUAAGGCAUCUUAUUAAUAUUAAAGCUUCGGCACUUGAUGAUGGGUGUGCGGCUGAUUAGAUAGUUGGCGGGGUAACGGCCCACCAAGUCUACGAUCAGUAGCUGAUGUGAGAGCAUGAUCAGCCACACGGGCACUGAGACACGGGCCCGACUCCUACGGGAGGCAGCAGUAAGGAAUAUUGGACAAUGGACGAAAGUCUGAUCCAGCCAUGCCGCGUGAAGGAUUAAGGUCCUCUGGAUUGUAAACUUCUUUAUAUGGGACGAAAAAAGGGCAUUCUUGUUCACUUGACGGUACCAUAUGAAUAAGC
rnacentral:rRNA from 1 species